UAGGGAAUCUUCGGCAAUGGGGGGAACCCUGACCGAGCAACGCCGCGUGAGUGAAGAAGGUUUUCGGAUCGUAAAGCUCUGUUGUUAAGGAAGAACGAGUGUGAGAAUGGAAAGUUCAUGCUGUGACGGUACUUAACCAGAAAGGGACGGCUAACUACGUGCCAGCAGCCGCGGUAAUACGUAGGUCCCGAGCGUUGUCCGGAUUUAUUGGGCGUAAAGCGAGCGCAGGCGGUUAGAAAAGUCUGAAGUGAAAGGCAGUGGCUCAACCAUUGUAGGCUUUGGAAACUGUUUAACUUGAGUGCAGAAGGGGAGAGUGGAAUUCCAUGUGUAGCGGUGAAAUGCGUAGAUAUAUGGAGGAACACCGGUGGCGAAAGCGGCUCUCAGGUCUGUAACUGACGCUGAGGCUCGAAAGCGUGGGGAGCGAACAGG
rnacentral:rRNA from 2 species